rnacentral:rRNA from 1 species
UACGUAGGGGGCAAGUGUUGUCCGGAAUCACUGGGCGUAAAGCGCGUGUAGGCGGUGGAGCAAGUCUGAUGUGAAAGCCCACGGCUCAACCGUGGAGGGUCAUUGGAAACUGGGGGACUUGAGUACAGAAGAGAAGAGUGGAAUUCCACGUGUAGCGGUGAAAUGCGUAGAGAUGUGGAGGAACACCAGUGGCGAAGGCGACUCUUUGGUCUGUAACUGACGCUGAGGCGCGAAAGCGUGGGGAGCAAACAGG